rnacentral:tRNA from 1 species
GCUCACUUGGCGGAAUUGGCAGACGCGCAACGUUCAGGUCGUUGUUCUGGUGACAGAGUGAAGGUUCAAGUCCUUUAGUGAGCA